rnacentral:lncRNA from 1 species
UGAGUACAUCAGAUCAAACUUGGUAUCAAUUCGGGAGAACACCUCUGCGACACUGGUUGAAUUGGAGAUCAUGCAAACAGCCCUUUGAACCUUAGCAAGGUCUCCACCAGGAACAACAGUGGGUGGCUGGUAGUUGAUACCACACUUGAAACCAGUAGGGCACCAGUCAACAAACUGAAUAGUACGCUUGGUCUUAAUAGUAGCAACAGCUGCAUUCACAUCCUUGGGAACAACAUCACCACGGUACAUCAGGCAGCAAGCCAUAUACUUUCCAUGCCUGGGAUCACACUUUGCCAUCAUAGAAGAAGGCUCAAAUGCACUGUUCGUGAUUUCUGCCACAGAAAGCUGCUCGUGGUAUGCUUUCUCAGCUGAGAUGACAGGAGCAUAGGAGGAAAGCAUAAAGUGAAUCCUGGGAUAGGGGACCAAGUUGGUCUGAAAUUCUGUGACAUCCACAUUCAAGGCACCAUCAAACCUCAGAGAUGCAGUCAGGGAGGAAAUCACCUAAAACAAUAUAAGAUAAGAAGUCAACUAAACCAAUUUUCCACCCUUUUUAAACUGAAGAUACAAAUACACUGCAGAGUUUCACAUAAUAGCAGCAAGACGGCAAACAUGUUACCUGAG